CGGCGAACGGUCGAGUAACGCGUAAGCAACCUGCCCGGAAGCGGGGGGAUAAGCCGGAGAAAUCCGGGGUAAUACCGCAUAGCUUGGAGGGGACAUCCCCGUUCAAGAAAGGAGAGCGAUCCGAGAGGGUCGGCUUCACUUCCGGAGGGGCUUGCGGCCUAUCAGCUAGUUGGGGGGGUAACGGGCCCCCCAAGGCGACGACGGGUAGCUGGUCUGAGAGGACGGCCAGCCGGACUGGGACUGAGACACGGCCCAG
rnacentral:rRNA from 1 species